UGGAGAUAGCAGAACAUCAGAGAAGAAGGGCAGGUUUGUGAAGGAGCUCAGUACAGGGAGCACUUCACAGAGAAUCCCCACCCUAGGAACUUGCAGGAGCAGAAUCUAGCUGAACAAAUCUUCCGUCUCACUACUCCUGAUGAGAAACGCUCCAUAAAAGGCUGACGACCUGCGGAAGAGAUUUCAGCAGAGAGAGUAUACAAGACGCCCGAUUGAGAGGGCAUACCGUCGAGCAUGCCAGGCUAAGCGUCCUGAACUUCUACAACCACGAAUACGGCGGGACGUACCGGAUGAGAUACGAUUUAUCACCACGUAUAACAACAACUGCACCGAAAUAGACUCCCUCGUGCUCCACUCGCCGUGAUCCUGACAUUCACUAGUCAUUUCUAGACUCUGCGGAUUAUGCAGCGUGUUUUCCAAAAAGCACAGCGGGGCUGGACUGUCCUAGCAACGGAUCGCCUGUGCAGAGACACAAUUCACGGACAUCUUAUUAUUAUUUUUAUUUGCAUGUAGAGUGCAUCAUGAAUUCAUCUAUCCUGCAUUUUUCAGUUUUUAUGGAAUUUACCAUAAUGUCUGGCCAGGGUAUUUGCGGACAUGCACAAACUGCAUAGAGUGAAGUGAUGUAUAUACAGUGUUUACCUGAAGAUAUGGGAUAAUGGGAUUGUGCCACUACCAACGUAGUGACAUGGAAUAUGUAAUUAUGCAUUGGAUAUUUAGGUCUUUACUCUGUGCACUAGGCCUUUUGUUUUAGAAUGUACAAAUUGUGCACUGUACGUAUAAGCGUCUGUAGCAACUUUGCUGUAUAUAUAUUUUAUGUUUUUUUGCACUUGCACUUUCGCACUGCGCACUGUCACCCGUACUCGCACUUUUUUAUAUUGCACGGUAUUUUAUUAACAUGGGUAUUCUUAUCCUCUUAUGAUUUUUAGCAUUCGCUGUUAUCAAUUUAUUUGUUUAAUCAUGUGUUGUCACAUUAAGUAUGAUCAAUGGUAUAAUCACUGUGUAUUCAUUAUUAAUUUAUGGACAAAGAGAAAGUAUCACAAAUUGUAAGCAUAUUGUAUUAUUCUCCCAAUAAAGGGGGUUGCACUGUUCGCAUCCAUCUGUCCAUCUGUGUGGACCUAAGUGAGCACAGGAGCGACAGACAUAUGUGAGAUUGUCUCCACCCACCUGCUGGUCAGGUGGAUAUUGUUGCUGGGUUACUGCAGACGCUAUGUCCGGAUCAUGUGAUCUGUGGCGGCGCGUCAUCCCUACUUCCGGUCGUGAGGUCAUAUCCGGUUCGCUAGGCAGAGCCGAUGUGGCAUGGGUUGGGGGCGGGGCUGCCUCAUUCCUGUGACAGGCACUCUGGUCGAAUGAGCAGGCGCGGCGGUGAUGUCACACAUGACAUCCACUGGAUGCAUGCAAUAGGAUAGAGGUCAGCACCCCUCAGGUGCAUACUGUUAGAGAAUUGAUGGCUGCACCUAAUUGGUUCAUGCAGGUAGUCAGGGUAUAAAGGGAGGGUCAUAUGGCAGGUUCAUUGUGCCCUGUGAAAAAGCCAGUGAGCGAAACGGACGUCGGGCCGCCCCCCAGCCAGGUUUGGUACUUGUCAUUUGUUAUGUACUGAGUAUGCCGGCAUUGCUGCCUGUUGGUUGUUACCGGGUAGAAGCUUUUUUCUGCACAUUAGCACGCUCAUCAGUCGCCCCAAUCCACCUAGGGUUGGCAGCUGCAACUCGUGGUGAGGUUGCGCACCUUUUGAGGUGACUGAGAUAUGUGAGCAUAUUUACCGUCUUUUCCAUCUUGUCUCACACAGCUUCCGGUACACUAAAUAGGCAGCGGCAACCUUAUACAAUUAUAAUGUAUUGAUAUACAGUACAGACCAAAAGUUUGGACACACCUUCUCAUUCAAAGAGUUUUCUUUAUUUUCAUGA